GAUGAACGCUAGCGGCAGGCCUAACACAUGCAAGUCGAGGGGUAACAGAGAAGCUUGCUUCUGCUGACGACCGGCGCACGGGUGCGUAACGCGUAUGCAACCUACCUCAUACAGGAGAAUAGCCCUUGGAAACGAGGAUUAAUACUCCAUGGUAUCAUUCUUUCGCAUGUUAGAAUGAUUAAAGAAUUUCGGUAUGAGAUGGGCAUGCGUCCCAUUAGCUAGUUGGUGAGGUAACGGCUCACCAAGGCGACGAUGGGUAGGGGGCCUGAGAGGGUGGUCCCCCACGCUGGUACUGAGACACGGACCAGACUCCUACGGGAGGCAGCAGUGAGGAAUAUUGGUCAAUGGAGGCAACUCUGAACCAGCCAUGCCGCGUGAAGGAUGACGGCCCUAUGGGUUGUAAACUUCUUUUAUAUGGGAAGAAACUUAUCUACGUGUAGAUAACUGACGGUACCAUACGAAUAAGGAUCGGCUAACUCCGUGCCAGCAGCCGCGGUAAUACGGAGGAUCCAAGCGUUAUCCGGAUUCAUUGGGUUUAAAGGGUCCGUAGGCGGAUUUUUAAGUCAGUGGUGAAAGCCGACAGCUCAACUGUCGAACUGCCAUUGAUACUGGAAAUCUUGAGUACAAAUGAAGUAGGCGGAAUGAGUCAUGUAACGGUGAAAUGCAUAGAUAUGACUCAGAACACCGAUUGCGAAGGCAGCUUACUAACAUGUAACUGACGCUGAGGGACGAAAGCGUGGGGAGCGAACAGGAUUAGAUACCCUGGUAGUCCACGCCGUAAACGAUCAUCACUCGCUGUUGGCGAUAUACUGUCAGCGGCCAAGCGAAAGUAUUAAGUGAUGCACCUGGGGAGUACGCCGGCAACGGUGAAACUCAAAGGAAUUGACGG
rnacentral:rRNA from 1 species